GACGAACGCUGGCGGCGUGCUUAACACAUGCAAGUCGAACGGAAAGGCCCCUUCGGGGGUACUCGAGUGGCGAACGGGUGAGUAACACGUGAGUAACCUGCCCUUGACUUCGGGAUAACUUCAGGAAACUGGGGCUAAUACCGGAUAGGAAUCCUUGCUGCAUGGUGGGGGUUGGAAAGCUUCGGCGGUUUUGGAUGGACUCGCGGCUUAUCAGCUUGUUGGUGGGGUAGUGGCUUACCAAGGCUUUGACGGGUAGCCGGCCUGAGAGGGCGACCGGCCACAUUGGGACUGAGAGACGGCCCAGACUCCUACGGGAGGCAGCAGUGGGGAAUAUUGCACAAUGGGCGGAAGCCUGAUGCAGCAACGCCGCGUGCGGGAUGACGGCCUUCGGGUUGUAAACCGCUUUCAGCAGGGGCGAAGCUUGUGGUGACGGUACCUGCAGAAGAAGCACCGGCUAACUACGUG
rnacentral:rRNA from 1 species